CAGCCGCCGCGGUAACACAGAGGGUGCAAGCGUUAAUCGGAAUUACUGGGCGUAAAGCGCGCGUAGGUGGUUUGUUAAGUUGAAUGUGAAAUCCCCGGGCUCAACCUGGGAACUGCAUCCAAAACUGGCAAGCUAGAGUAGGGCAGAGGGUGGUGGAAUUUCCUGUGUAGCGGUGAAAUGCGUAGAUAUAGGAAGGAACACCAGUGGCGAAGGCGACCACCUGGGCUCAUACUGACACUGAGGUGCGAAAGCGUGGGGAGCAAACAGGAUUAGAUACCCCAGUAGUCCCUGUCUCUUAUAC
rnacentral:rRNA from 1 species